rnacentral:lncRNA from 1 species
AGCUAUAUCAGGACCAAAAUGGCAGGAAAAUUUGUAAACCUGUGUUGAUUUUAUUAACCAAUACCAAUGGGCUUGCUUGAAAAUUGUAAUUGACGUUGAACUUGUAAUGUUGUAGAUUCAGUUUACACUUAUAGUUUGUUGACUACAGUUUCUCAAAGUAUUUGGAACUAGGUACAAGCUGGGCCUGAUGAAGAAAGAUGAUGAUGAUGAACAAAAAUAAGAAAUGCGAUUUUAGCUAUUCACCGGAUUUCGACUUGGGACGCUCUGGAUAGCUGAAAAGCGUCAUAUACACCUGAGAUAGAGCGACUAUACUAGGUAGCUCUUCAUAUCUAGCUUCUGAUGACCUGUAGAGAAGAAAAUCCAGAUGACUCUCCAAUAAUUCAAGACAGAGCUUAUUGAAGUGGUUUCCAACAGUGUGUUGUGAAAAUCAGAACAAGUUUAUACUUUCAAGGACUGGACUACAGAUGUUAACCUCAAACCUGGAAUAACUGCUUUCUGACCACUUUCAACUUACUGACAUUGGCAUCUUAGGACUGGUUGUGAUUUGAUAUGUAGGAAUUUUAAUGCUUGUCUUCCAAAUGGACCAAAACUGAAAGAAACUGAGUGUGAAGUUGUAGUUUGAAGUUCUGUCUAAGAAGACUUCUUCACAAGCAUCCUAAUCACAUACAGUCUUGAAGAUGGCUCUGGACAACAGUAUACUUUGUUGAUGAGAAACAAAUACUGAUCAACUUAUUAAUGAAAACUAUAGAAACCAGAGAAGAAGAAAAAACAGUUUUCCAGGAAUUACCCAUCCACUCUCAUUAUGAUUGGAGCAGGAGGAAACCCACAGCUACCAAAGAGAUUGUUUUAUCAACAGCUUUACUCUACGAGCAAGAUAAAAAACAUUUUAUUAUUGGUAUUUCUCUGACCACUAUGUUUAAAGGUUUAUGAUGAUCACUGAAGAGGUUUAAAAUUAUGUGUAAUUUCUUUUUGUAACAAAUAAAACAAAUUAUGUAAAUAAACUUUCAAUAUCAUGAACAUUUUCUUAGGAUAUUAGUUAUUAAUUAAUUAGUGUUUACCUGAAUCAGAUAAUAUCUGAUAAUGGAAUUGUAUAUUUAUUAUUAAAAUGCAAGCAACAACCAUAUAUAAGAUUGUAGAGGGUUUUGAUAAACCAGCCCUGAUGUAUAGGAUUACAAAGGUUUUUGUAUUUUUUUAUAUUUUAUAGUAAUUUCAAUGCAAGCAACAUUUUUGUAAAUCCAUACACAUUUUUCAAUAAAAAACCCUGAUUAACUAGUUCAUGGGGGUCAAAAAUUGAUUGCGUUUAUCCAAAAUCAGUGAAUGCCACAAAAUUUGAAUGUGAUCUCGUAAAUAGUUUUUGCAUAAAUACCAAUUAAUAAAGUUUAAAAUGAUACCAUGAAAGCAACUCAAGCAAUGGUAGCAACUGUCAUUAGUCACAAAAUGGACAUUUUUGUAGAUCUUAUUGAUUGUUUUUAAACUGUGGAUAUUACUAAUACUUCACAGAAUGAGAAAAAUAAACAUUUUCUAGAUCUUUAAUAUUUUUUGUGUAUUUUUAGUGAGAUAUACAUACUUAUGAGUUUUAGCCAAAGAUUUAUUUACUUAUUUAUAACCCAUUUGUUAAAAUUAUGACUAACAAUACUCUCUACACCUUUUAAAUUUAAUAUUUUACUUAAUGUGAUCUUGUGUUAAUGUUUCACUAAAUGUGUUCUUGUGUUAAUGUUUACUAAAUGUAGUGUUGUGUUAAUUUUUCAAUAAAUGUGGUCUUGUGUUAAUUUUUUAGUAAAUAUGGUAUUGUGUUAAUGUUUAGUAAAUGUGGUAUUGUAUUAAUGUUUUACUAAAUGUGGUCUUGUGCUGAUUAAUGUUUUAGUAAAUUACUGCUGGUUACUUGUGACUGGUUGCACUCUCUUGUGAAUGGAGUGUGAUAAUGUUUUCUACAUGAGUGUUGUUCAGUAUGCUUUGAUUGGUUGUAUCUUUCUCUUGAUACUUGGCAUGUCCAGUUGGUUAGGGUGCUUGACUCGCUAUCUGAGGGACAUGUGUUCGGAUCCCCAUCCCACCAAACAUGCUGGCCUUUCA